GAUGAACGCUGGCGGCGUGCCUAAUACAUGCAAGUCGAACGAACGGACGAGAAGCUUGCUUCUCUGAUGUUAGCGGCGGACGGGUGAGUAACACGUGGAUAACCUACCUAUAAGACUGGUAUAACUUCGGGAAACCGGAGCUAAUCCCGGAUAAUCUUUUGAACCGCAUGGUUCAAAAGUGAAAGACGGUCUUGCUGUCACUUAUAGAUGGAUCCCCGCUGCAUUAGAUAGUUGGUAAGGUAACGGCCUACCAAGGCAACCAUGCAUAGCCGACCUGAGAGGGUGAUCGGCGACCCUGGAAGUGAGCCACGGUCCAGAGUCCUACGGGAGGCAGCAGUCGGCAAUCUGACGCAAUGGGCGAAAGCCUUACGGAGCAACGGGGAGCGAGUGAUGACGGUGUUCGGAGCGUAAAACUCUGUUAUGAGGGGAGAACAGCUGUGUAAGUAAAUGUGCCGAGAUUGACGGUAAUGAGUCAGAAAGCAACGGCUAACUACGUG
rnacentral:rRNA from 1 species